GUGGGGAAUCUUGCGCAAUGGGCGAAAGCCUGACGCAGCCAUGCCGCGUGAAUGAUGAAGGUCUUAGGAUUGUAAAAUUCUUUCACCGGGGACGAUAAUGACGGUACCCGGAGAAGAAGCUCCGGCUAACUUCGUGCCAGCAGCCGCGGUAAUACGAAGGGGGCUAGCGUUGCUCGGAAUUACUGGGCGUAAGGGGCGCGUAGGCGGACAGCUCAGUCAGAGGUGAAAGCCCAGGGCUAAACCUUGGAAUUGCCUUUGAUACUGGCUGUCUUGAGUUUGGGAGAGGUGAGUGGAACUCCGAGUGUAGAGGUGAAAUUCGUAGAUAUUCGGAAGAACACCAGUGGCGAAGGCGACUCACUGGCCCAAUACUGACGCUGAGGCGCGAAAGCGUGGGGAGCAAACAGGAUUAGAUACCCUAGUAGUCC
rnacentral:rRNA from 1 species